CAAAAGCGUAUAUUAAAGUUGUUGCAGUUAAAAAGCUCGUAGUUGGAUUUCUGGAUGGAGCGACCGGUCGGGCAUUAAUUUGUCUGCACUGGAGUCGGUUCCGUCCAUCCUCUUGGAAAGUGCGUGGGGCAUUAAGUUGUCUGGCGUAUGAUCCAAGUCGUUUACUGUGAAAAAAUUAGAGUGUUUAAAGCAGGCCUUCGCCUUGAAUACAUUAGCAUGGAAUAAUAAGAUAGGACUUUGGUCUAUUUUGUUGGUUUGCAGACCGAAGUAAUGAUUAAUAGGGAUAGUUGGGGGUAUUUAUAUUCCGAUGUCAGAGGUGAAAUUCUUAGAUUUUCGGAAGAUAAACUUAUGCGAAAGCAUUUACCAAGGAUGUUUUCAUUAA
rnacentral:rRNA from 1 species